rnacentral:rRNA from 1 species
GACGAACGCUGGCGGCGUGCUUAACACAUGCAAGUCGAACGGAAAGGCCCUGCUUUUUUGGGGUGCUCGACUUGCGAACGGGUGAGUAACACGUGAGUAACCUGCCCUUGACUUUGGGAUAACUUCAUGAAACUUGGGCUAAUACCGGAUAGGAGCUCCUGCUUCAUGGUGGGGGUGGGAAAGUUUCGGCGGUUGGGGAUGGACUCGCGGCUUAUCAGCUUGUUGGUGGGGUAGUGGCUUACCAAGGCUUUGACGGGUAGCCGGCCUGAGAGGGUGACCGGCCAAAUUGGGACGGAGAUACGGCACAGACUACUACGGGACGCAGCAGUGGGGAAUAUUGCACAAUGGGCGGAAGCCUGAUGCAGCAACGCCGCGUGCGGGAUGACGGCAUUCGGGUUGUAAACCGCUUUCGCCUGUGACGAAGCGUGAGUGACGGUAAUGGGUAAAGAAGCACCGGCUAACUACGUG